rnacentral:lncRNA from 1 species
UUGGCCCUGAGACCUGUCUCUGGACAUGGUCUCUGCGGGGUUUCUAAGCUGCUUCUCCCUACGCACUGGAGAUGUGGUGUGACUCACAUUCCUCCACCAUCUGCGGAAGAGGCUCACAUGACUCAGCCUCCGCCCACUCUCUCUGUCACUCAAAGGUGCUACAGCGUAACCACACACAAAAUCAUUCCCGGUGACUCAGGCAGAAAGACAGCACCACGGCCUGGCUGACUGCCACUCAGUGUCUGAGGCAUGGUAGAGGUUUCUCUGGCUUUUCAGAUGACUUAUCUUCCAGGAGAUGUGUGAGUCUGCAGAAGGCUUUGUCGGUCUGAGAUGCUAACACAAAACCACCACUGAAUGGGAAGUGAACAGCAUUGUUAGUCUCCACACAACUAAGAACAGGUAUAUCUAAGCACAAGGCUGAUAGAGCCUGUGGCCAGUGUCUUCUUGCUAUGUCCUCCAAUGGCUGAAGAGCUAGGGAACACUCGGUGUCUUGAUGUUUUGUUUGAUUGUCUGAAAUAAAGUCUUGCUUUGUAGCUCAAGCUGGCCUUGAACUCACCAUCUUCCUGCAUUGGCCUCUUAGAUGUUGAGUUCACAAGUGUAUGCCAUUAGCCCAGCAAGUGUAUGCCAUUAGCCUAGCAAGUAUAUGUCAUUAGCCCAGCAAGUGCAUGCCAUUAGCCCAGCAAGUGUAUGCCAUUAGCCCAGCAAGUGUAUGCCAUUAGCCCAGCAAGUGUAUGCCAUUAGCCCAGCUUCAUAGUGUUUCUUUUAUUCGAUUAUUUUUAAAUACUUUUUGCUUCUUU